rnacentral:rRNA from 1 species
ACUCAAAGGAAUAGACGGGGGCCCGCACAAGCAGCGGAGCAUGUGGUUUAAUUCGAAGCAACGCGAAGAACCUUACCAAGGCUUGACAUCCCGAUGACGGGUGUAGAGAUACACCUUUUCUUCGGAACAUCGGUGACAGGUGGUGCAUGGUUGUCGUCAGCUCGUGUCGUGAGAUGUUGGGUUAAGUCCCGCAACGAGCGCAACCCUUAUCAUUAAUUGCCAGCGGGUAAUGCCGGGAACUUUAGUGAGACUGCCGGGGAUAACUCGGAGGAAGGUGGGGACGACGUCAAAUCAUCAUGCCCCUUAUGUCUUGGGCUACACACGUGCUACAAUGGCCGGUACAAAGAGUAGCGAGUCGGUAACGAUAAGCGAAUCUCAAAAAGCUGGUCUCAGUUCGGAUUGUGGGCUGCAACCCGCCCACAUGAAGUUGGAGUUGCUAGUAAUCGCGAAUCAGCAUGUCGCGGUGAAUGCGUUCCCGGGCCUUGUACACACCGCCCGU